rnacentral:lncRNA from 1 species
AUACUAGUAUACAUACAUACAUAGUAUAGGAUAAACACCACCACUCAACUGUCUUUAGCGUAGAGCGUCGAACUGCUAGAUGAACGAAGCCUACGCACUGCGACGGCCGAAUUCGACUCACCCAAAUGCAAUGAAUCAAAAUAAGGCUAGGAGUGAGAAAGCAGACGUUGUAGCGUUUAUAUCGACUAUUAUCGGUAGAACCACUGGCGAUCAAGCAACAGCAAUAUAAUGUGAUCGAGCUGAGCCUUCGCUAGCCGCGAAAAGUUCUAGCUAUGGGAGCAACUAUACUAGAGUACUGUAGAACAAAUGAAUGCUACAUAUAUGUAUGUGUAUACAUAUAUAGUAUGUGAGAAAAAAAGGAGGAACAAAGUACGAAGUCAUUUCCAGGCAUAAAGGCUUUGAGUAAGUGGGACACGCUUACUGUUUUCUAGCUAGUCGUUCGCGUUCGCGAAUAUUGAAGUGGAAUGAUUCAGGCCCAUCUUGUUUUGAACAGCCCAAGACAAGAGACAAAAGCCAGCUGACUUUCUGAAAACUCGUAUUUGAUGGUGUAACAGGUCACGCAAUUGUUACCGCGCUGUUAGGCGAUUAAGUUUUACUUCUGCAACCGUGUUAAGCUUCGUAAUAUGUUCCAAAAAUUUAUAAGGCCGCUGGGCCCCAACUCAGGCUCAUAUUGGCUUUCUGUGUAUAUCUUUAUACUUCGUUAUUACCUAUACGAGAGGGGAGCUUUAAGUAUGUUUAACUCCUGCCUAUCCUGCUGCCACCCAUAACGGAAAUUCAACAGGUCGACUGGCCUGUUUCCAGAAUAAGAUUACCAGCGGAAGUUGUCCGACCGGGCUGCUUUUUAGAGAAAUGUCAAUGAAGUUACCGUAGGGAAGAGGAUUCCGUAUUCACGCACCGUGAUAAUAACGGAUCGUGCGUCGAGGGAGGCGAGAAGACUCGUUGACAAAAAUAUUGCUGUUUUAUCUCUAACUUAUUUGGCCGGUAGCAUUUUAGAGAAAAAGAAUCUAACUACGACGUUAAAGAUC